AAGGAGCACUUCUCACCGAUCCCUUCGGGGUGAGGUCAGAGGCCAGUUCAUCAGCGAACGUCUGAUGCUGGUUGCUCAAGGGUGGAACGUUGAUUAUUCGGCACUUCUGACUGUCUUCUCCUUCCAGUACUGCUCUUUAGAGCGUGGAACGUCGAGGGAAGCGGUGAGGGGUGCCGGGCACGCUGUUGGGUGUCUGAGGGUGCGAGCGUUGCUCGUUCCUUCGGUGCCGGCCCCAGUGCACUCGAACCGUAAGGGUUCGGGGUGAUGGGUGGCUGGUCGUUGUUUGAGAACUGCACAGUGGACGCGAGCAUCUGUGG
rnacentral:misc_RNA from 1 species